UUACGGCCAUAUCAGGUUUAAACACUGUUUCUCGUACGAUAUCCGAAGUUAAGCAAACUCGAGCCUGAUUUGUAGUUAAAUGGGUGACCGCUUGGGAAUACCAGGUGCUGUAAG